ACAGAGGUGGCAAGCGUUGUUCGGAAUUACUGGGCGUAAAGGGCGCGUAGGCGGUCUUGUAAGUCUCGUGUGAAAUCCCUCGGCUUAACUGAGGAACUGCACGGGAUACUGCAUGACUUGAGAUCGGGAGAGGGAAGCGGAAUUCCGGGUGUAGCGGUGAAAUGCGUAGAUAUCCGGAGGAACACCGGUGGCGAAGGCGGCUUCCUGGACCGGCAUUGACGCUGAGGCGCGAAAGCCAGGGGAGCAAACGGGA
rnacentral:rRNA from 1 species